rnacentral:rRNA from 1 species
GAUGAACGCUGGCGGCGUGCCUAAUACAUGCAAGUAGAACGCUGAAGGAAGGAGCUUGCUCUUUCCGGAUGAGUUGCGAACGGGUGAGUAACGGGUAGGUAACCUGCCUGGUAGCGGGGGAUAACUAUUGGAAACGAUAGCUAAUACCGCAUAACAGUAGAUGUUGCAUGAUAUCUACUUAAAAGGUGCAAUUGCACCACUACCAGAUGGACCUGCGUUGUAUUAGCUAGUUGGUGAGGUAACGGCUCACCAAGGCGACGAUACAUAGCCGACCUGAGAGGGUGAUCGGCCACACUGGGACUGAGACACGGCCCAGACUCCUACGGGAGGCAGCAGUAGGGAAUCUUCGGCAAUGGACGGAAGUCUGACCGAGCAACGCCGCGUGAGUGAAGAAGGUUUUCGGAUCGUAAAGCUCUGUUGUAAGAGAAGAACGAGUGUGAGAGUGGAAAGUUCACACUGUGACGGUAUCUUACCAGAAAGGGACGGCUAACUACGUG